AUGGCGACCAUCACCACGCAGCUCCGCUCCGCGCUCCUCUCCCCGGCCGCCUCGUCCUCGUCCUCCUCCUCACCGCGCCGCGGCGGCCGGCGCGCGCCCUCCUCCGUCCGCUGCGAUGCCUCUCCCCCGGCGGCGUCCGCGUCGGCCUCCCUCGACCCGGACUUCGACAAGAAGGCCUUCCGCCACAACCUCACCCGCAGCGACAACUACAACCGCAAGGGCUUCGGCCACAAGAAGGAGACCCUCGAGCUCAUGAGCCAGGAGUACACCAGCGAUGUGAUAAAGACGCUCAAGGACAACGGGAACGAGUACACCUGGGGGCCGGUGACCGUGAAGCUGGCGGAGGCCUACGGCUUCUGCUGGGGCGUCGAGCGCGCCGUGCAGAUCGCCUACGAGGCGCGCAAGCAGUUCCCCGAGGAGCGCAUCUGGAUCACCAACGAGAUCAUCCACAACCCCACGGUCAACAAGAAAUUGGAGGACAUGGGUGUCAAAGAUAUUCCUGUUAACGCUGGUAUUAAGGAUUUUGAUGUUAUUGAACAAGGCGAUGUUGUUGUCUUGCCUGCAUUUGGAGCUGCUGUGGAUGAGAUGUACACAUUAAAUGAGAAGAACGUGCAAAUUGUUGAUACGACAUGCCCUUGGGUUUCAAAGGUGUGGAACAUGGUUGAGAAGCAUAAGAAGGGCGACUAUACUUCUAUUAUUCACGGAAAAUAUGCCCAUGAAGAGACUGUUGCCACUGCUUCUUUUGCAGGGAAGUACAUUAUUGUGAAGAAUAUGGUCGAGAAAUUCAAAAAGGCUGUUUCUCCAGGAUUCGAUCCUGAUGUUGACUUGGAAAAGGUGGGCAUUGCAAAUCAAACAACAAUGCUUAAAGGAGAAACUGAACAAAUUGGAAAACUUGUUGAGAAGACUAUGAUGCGUAAGUAUGGAGUCGAGAAUGCCAAUGAACACUUUGUUGCAUUCAACACUAUUUGUGAUGCCACACAGGAAAGACAGGAUGCGAUGUAUCACCUAGUGAAGGAAAAGGUUGACCUUAUUCUGGUUAUUGGAGGGUGGAACUCCAGUAAUACCUCUCAUUUGCAAGAAAUUGGAGAACUCAGUGGAAUUCCGUCCUACUGGAUUGACAGUGAACAAAGGAUUGGACCAGGAAACAGGAUUAGCUACAAGCUAAAUCACGGUGAGCUUAUUGAGGCAGAAAACUGGCUACCAGAAGGGCCUAUCACAAUUGGAGUUACUUCUGGUGCCUCAACCCCGGACAAGGUUGUUGAGGAUACGCUACACAAGGUGUUUGACAUUAAGCGUCAAGAAGUUUUGCAGGUUGCAUAG
rnacentral:rRNA from 1 species